GGGGUAGGCGGAGCGGUAAGUACCUUGUGAAAGCCCCGGGCUCAACCCGGGAAUUGCUUGGUAUACUGUCGCUCUUGAGGCGGGUAGGGGUCACUGGAACCUUAGGUGGAGCGGUGAAAUGCGUAGAUAUCUAAGGGAACGCCUGUGGCGAAAGCGGGUGACUGGGCCUGUACUGACGCUGAGACCCGAAAGCGUAGGGAGCGAACG
rnacentral:rRNA from 1 species